CACGUAGGGGGCAAGCGUUGUCCGGAUUUAUUGGGCGUAAAGAGCUCGUAGGUGGUUCGGUAAGUCAGGUGUGAAACCUCCAGGCUCAACCUGGAGACGCCACUUGAUACUGCUGUGACUGGAGUCCGGUAGGGGAGCGUGGAAUUCCUGGUGUAGCGGUGAAAUGCGCAGAUAUCAGGAGGAACACCUGCGGUGUAGACGGCUUACUGGACCAUAACUGACGCUGAGGCACGAAAGCGUGGGUAGCAAACAGG
rnacentral:rRNA from 1 species